rnacentral:lncRNA from 1 species
UCUCUUCAUCUCUCCUUCUCUCUCUUUCUCUUUGACGCUCUCUCUAAGUUCUAUGGCAUGAUUCGUUGUUCUGUUCUAAUGAGUAUGGAAGAAGCAACGACGGAAGAGUCAUUCGUUAGUACGAGAGAGGCGGAGACGAAGACGAGACUCGCCGAUCCAAACCACCUUACGUUUCAUUUCUUCCUUCGUUGGUGUUUCAGUUUUUGAUUCUAUGAUUUGCUUUCAGUUUCGUUGAUUUCGUUACAACAACAGUUUAAUUAGGGUUUCAGUUUCUUAGAUUUCGAUUAUCUCAUCUGACAAAUUAGAGUUUGAUUUUAAAAUCCAAAUUAGGGUUUCGAAAUGAAUUGGGGUUUUCAGAUCUCUGGUUUGGAUUUUUUUUGUUCUGAG